UACGUAGGGGGCAAGCGUUGUCCGGAAUCAUUGGGCGUAAAGAGCGCGUAGGCGGUCCGGUAAGUCCGCUGUGAAAGUCAAGGGCUCAACCCUUGAAUGCCGGUGGAUACUGUCGGGCUAGAGUGCGGAAGAGGCGAGUGGAAUUCCUGGUGUAGCGGUGAAAUGCGCAGAUAUCAGGAGGAACACCAAUUGCGAAGGCAGCUCGCUGGGACGUAACUGACGCUGAGACGCGAAAGCGUGGGGAGCAAACAGG
rnacentral:rRNA from 1 species